UACGAAGGGGGCUAGCGUUGCUCGGAUUGACUGGGCGUAAAGGGCGCGUAGGCGGCGGACACAGUCAGACGUGAAAUUCCUGGGCUCAACCUGGGGGCUGCGUUUGAUACAUGUCUGCUUGAGUUCGGAAGAGGGUCGUGGAAUUCUCAGUGUAGAGGUGAAAUUCGUAGAUAUUGGGAAGAACACCGGUGGCGAAGGCGGCGACCUGGUCCGAUACUGACGCUGAGGCGCGAAAGCGUGGGGAGCAAACAGG
rnacentral:rRNA from 1 species